UCUUCCCAAAACCAAACUCUGCAAAUCCUUACUCUCAGCUCUAACGCUCUCAUAGGCGAGAUCACUGCCAAUUUAUCAAACCUCACUUUCCCCUGCUACCUCGACCUAUAGAAGAACCAAUUCUCCGGUGAGUUCCGUCCGAGUCACACUCGCCUCACUCGAUUCAUUUGUUUGGAUCUCUCCUCCUACAACGUCACCUAUCAAAUUCCUUUCAUCCCAGCUCCGUCUCUGUCUCCCUCCUCCAAUUUAACAUCGGUCAUGACGCAUAAGAAGUCCAAGAAGUUCUCCACGGGCGCCAUUGUCGCAAUCAUUGUCGGGUCAGUCUCAUCGCGGCGUUGUUGUUAUGUCGUCAGCAAAACUGCCAAAGCCUGUUGCGGAGGCAUGUGCCGUGCUGGUGGAGGCGGGGCCGUUGUCGUCGAAGGAGAACAUCACCGGGGGUUGAGUGGAGGCGGAAAGAAACAAGUUGGUGUUCUUUGAAGGGGGAUAUACAGUUUCGAUUUGGAGGAUUGGUUGAGGUCUUCGACGGAGAUGUUGGGGAAGGGCAAUUUGGGGACUUCGUACAAGGCGAUGUUGGAGGAAGGGACGAUGGUGGUGGUGAAGAGUUCAAGAUGUAAACAGAAGUUCUAGGGAAGAUUAAGCACGAUAGUGUGGUGCCUCAGGUAAAUAUUGAACUCAAAUGCAAAUCAAAUUGAUUGUUGUAGUUUAGGAACACCAUACUUAGUUUGCUCUUCGCGGAACAGGCCAACAAGGAGAAUGAUGAGGUUUAUACACAUGUUACUUUGCUUCCUCAGCCCGAGUUGGAAGGAAUGAAUUUAGAGGGCAAAGAACUUGAGGAAUUUGGAGCAGAAGAAGAGGGAGAUGAAAGAUCACCAACUAAAUCAACCCCUCACAUGCUCUGCAAAACACUAAUUGCCUCGGAUACUAGCACACAUGGGGGCUUCUUUGUUCCUCGUAGAGUUGCUGAAGACUGUUUUCCUCCUUUAGUGUGGCAUCUUUCAUAGCAUAAUAUUAAGCAUUAACACUUACAAAAAAGAAAUGAAAAGUAAAAUUAAUCAAACUUCUUACAUAAGUUAAAAUAAACUUUUGAUGCAUCUCAACUGUUGCAAAAUUUAGAUAACAAAGAUUCUAUUAGAGUGCAUAAAUUUGAUUGUAUAUCCUUGAUUAAGUUGGUGAACUAUUCUUUUGCAGGAUUAUAAGCAGCAGAGGCCUUCACAAGAGAUUAUUGCCAAAGACCUGCAUUGCCACUGUACAAUUAUUCUCAUUGACACGUAUCCGUUCUACAAUGUCAGAUCAUUGUUCCGUUAACGGCGUUUCUGAAAAUUUAACGGGAUGGACCACAUUGAUGCCAAUUAACUAAUUUGGGUACUAAAUAGAUACAAAGUUAAAAGCGGGUACCAUUUAGACACAUUGAAACGAAACUGGGUACGUUGCAAAUAAUUAUACCUAUAAUCUAUAAAGAAGAGGAUUUUGUUGCUCGCGUCAAAGAGAUUACGUCAGGCAAUGGAGUUGAAGUAGUCUAUAUACCUUUGAGGGAUCUUUGGCAUGCUUGAAGCUUAGGGGCUACAUGGUAAGUUUUGGACAGUCAUCAGGUUCACCUGAUCCAGUUCCAUCAUAGAAAAUUACCUACUUAUUAGGUAUUUAAAAAUGUAGCUUUGAUAUAGGCUUUAAUUGCAUUCACCUUCCUUUAAGUGAAUUACAAGAACAUUGUCUCUAUUUUGAUGCUUGCGAAGAUUUUUAAUUUGACUUUUAAUUGCAUUCAUCUA